rnacentral:siRNA from 1 species
UGUUUAGACAUUGUGAUGCAACGU